rnacentral:lncRNA from 1 species
GCAGAUGUGGAGACAGGACUCAAGGAGGUCCCAUUUCCAAAUGGAAGAAGUAAAAUUUUAACAGAAUUUUUUUUCCACUGUUCAAGCAAUUAAGGCAAAUAGCUAAAGAAAACUUUUUCAGUACUGGUCAUUCCCAAAGAGAAGAGCAAGCUGGAAGACCCAGUGAGCAUGAAGGUGGAUGAGCAGUAUCCAUAAAAGUCGCGCCACACUGCCUGGACCUAUUUCUUCCACUAUGUAUCACAAGUGCUUGCAUAUUUUACUGUACAGUGUGUUAAGUUUCAGUGAAGACAAAGGGUCUAGUGCCAUAUGUCAGCCAAAGACAAUGUUUCCCAUGGUGUCCACCCUUAAUUAUUAAACAUGUCCUUCUAGAAUCUCAGAACUAUCCCAAAGGCCAUAUGUGCCACCUCGUAAUGUGAGGCCUCAAUCUUAUGACACCUGUGCAAUUACAAUGACUCAGCAUCCCCGUGUGGUCCUCUUCUCAGCUCCUAAAAGAAUCACCCUCAUUCCACCAUUGCCAAAGCACAGGAAUAUAAUGUGGGACGUGCUGUCAAAACAGGAUUUCAGAUCACAAAAUAGUUAUGUUCCCCAAAAUCACAGUUCUAUAAAUCGUUAGCAAGCAUCUUUCCAUAAAUUAAUGCCUUGACCACUAGGCAAGACUCUCAUCCUAUGGGGAUUUUCUGGGCAAUGUUUUUGUCCUAUAGGAGUUUUCCUUAAAAAAUUUAAAGAUGAGAAUCAGCCUGGGGUUGCUAGUUAAGCUCAACACAGUCCUAAUAAGCAGCUGCUUCUGCUCCCAACUGUCACCAUUCCCUCCAUAUCAAUAUCUCUGAGAAGGUCAGCACACUGUCUUCAGCAUGCUCUAAUA